UAAGAGCUCGUAGGUGGUUUGUUACGUCGGAUGUGAAAACCUGAGGCUCAACCUCAGGCCUGCAUUCGAUACGGGCAAACUAGAGUUUGGUAGGGGAGACUGGAAUUCCUGGUGUAGCGGUGGAAUGCGCAGAUAUCAGGAGGAACACCAAUGGCGAAGGCAGGUCUCUGGGCCAAUACUGACACUGAGGAGCGAAAGUCUGGGGAGCGAACAGGAUUAGAUACCCUGGUAGUCCAGACCGUAAACGGUGGGCACUAGUUGUGGGAACCUUCCACGGUUUCUGCGACGCAGCUAACGCAUUAAGUGCCCCGCCUGGGGAGUACGAUCGCAAGAUUAAAACUCAAAGGAAUUGACGGGGCCCCGCACAAGCAGCGGAGCAUGCGGCUUAAUUCGACGCAACGCGAAGAACCUUACCAAGGCUUGACAUAUAGGGAAAAGUGGCAGAGAUGUCAUGUCCGCAAGGGCUCUAUACAGGUGGUGCAUGGUUGUCGUCAGCUCGUGUCGUGAGAUGUUGGGUUAAGUCCCGCAACGAGCGCAACCCUCGUUCUGUGUUGCCAGCAUUUAGUUGGGGACUCACAGGAGACUGCCGGGGUUAACUCGGAGGAAGGUGGGGAUGACGUCAAAUCAUCAUGCCCCUUAUGUCUUGGGCUGCACGCAUGCUACAAUGGCCGGUACAGAGGGCUGCAAUACCGUAAGGUGGAGCGAAUCCCAAAAAGCCGGUCUCAGUUCGGAUUGAGGUCUGCAACUC
rnacentral:rRNA from 1 species